GGGAUUUCUCACCAUGGAGGCUCCCCAGCUGGCCUUGACCUUGCUCAGGAGUCACGGCUCCCUUGCAUCCUCACAGAAGGGCUCCUUUGACGCAGCUCCAUCCCUCUGACGUACCUUUGGUGUUUGCAAUUUGUCAUAGAGAGGAAGAGAAGUACAUCAUCAGGCUGCUUUUCCUUUGCCCAUCACCCAGUCUUGCUCUGGGCUCCCAGCCACCACCUGCUCAUCCCUACGUCAUGUCCCAAGGGACCACUGGUUCCAUGUAGCACCUGCACAAAGAGAUGGUGGAGGCCUCACGGAGCUUUUGGGGGAAGGAGAGACAGGAACAUGACAGUAAUUUAAUUUUUCAUGCAAAACUCUGCUAGGAACUACCAGACUUUCCAAAAUGUAUUCCAAAGAAAUGCAGAGAUAGAUUCCCGACCGGCAUUAAUCAGUGCUGAUUAAGUCAUGGAGCUACGCAAUUUCUGCCUGGCAAGUGGACCAUUUGCUCCUCAUCCUGUGACUCAGAUCACAGUGACAGAUACCUGGCACCCUAGAUGGGUUCCCUCCAACCCAGGAGAGGAGCGUUUAUUGCUCUUACCCAAAC
rnacentral:lncRNA from 1 species